rnacentral:rRNA from 1 species
GGCGAACGGGUGAGUAACACGUGGGCAAUCUGCCCUGCACUCUGGGACAAGCCCUGGAAACGGGGUCUAAUACCGGAUAUGACCACUAGGGGCAUCCCUUGGUGGUGUAAAGCUCCGGCGGUGCAGGAUGAGCCCGCGGCCUAUCAGCUUGUUGGUGAGGUAACGGCUCACCAAGGCGACGACGGGUAGCCGGCCUGAGAGGGCGACCGGCCACACUGGGACUGAGACACGGCCCAGACUCCUACGGGAGGCAGCAGUGGGGAAUAUUGCACAAUGGGCGAAAGCCUGAUGCAGCGACGCCGCGUGAGGGAUGACGGCCUUCGGGUUGUAAACCUCUUUCAGCAGGGAAGAAGCGAAAGUGACGGUACCUGCAGAAGAAGCGCCGGCUAACUACGUGCCAGCAGCCGCGGUAAUACGUAGGGCGCAAGCGUUGUCCGGAAUUAUUGGGCGUAAAGAGCUCGUAGGCGGCUUGUCACGUCGGUUGUGAAAGCCCGGGGCUUAACCCCGGGUCUGCAGUCGAUACGGGCAGGCUAAAGUUCGGUA